rnacentral:rRNA from 1 species
AGAGUUUGAUCAUGGCUCAGAACGAACGCUGGCGGCAGGCCUAACACAUGCAAGUCGAGCGGGGACUUCGGUCCUAGCGGCGGACGGGUUAGUAACGCGUGGGAAUAUGCCCAAAGGUACGGAAUAGCCUCUGGAAACGGAGAGUAAUACCGUAUGUGCCCUUCGGGGGAAAGAUUUAUCGCCUUUGGAUUAGCCCGCGUUGGAUUAGGUAGUUGGUGGGGUAACGGCCUACCAAGCCUACGAUCCAUAGCUGGUUUGAGAGGAUGAUCAGCAACACUGGGACUGAGACACGGCCCAGACUCCUACGGGAGGCAGCAGUGGGGAAUCUUCGGCAAUGGGCGCAAGCCUGACCGAGCCAUGCCGCGUGAGCGAUGAAGGCCUUAGGGUUGUAAAGCUCUUUCGCCAGGGAUGAUAAUGACAGUACCUGGUAAAGAAACCCCGGCUAACUCCGUGCCAGCAGCCGCGGUAAUACGGAGGGGGUUAGCGUUGUUCGGAAUUACUGGGCGUAAAGCGCGCGUAGGCGGACUAUUAAGUCAGGGGUGAAAUCCCGGGGCUCAACCCCGGAACU